GUGGGUAGUUUGACUGGGGCGGUCUCCUCCUAAAGAGUAACGGAGGAGCACGAAGGUUGGCUAAUCCUGGUCGGACAUCAGGAGGUUAGUGCAAUGGCAUAAGCCAGCUUGACUGCGAGCGUGACGGCGCGAGCAGGUGCGAAAGCAGGUCAUAGUGAUCCGGUGGUUCUGAAUGGAAGGGCCAUCGCUCAACGGAUAAAAGGUACUCCGGGGAUAACAGGCUGAUACCGCCCAAGAGUUCAUAUCGACGGCGGUGUUUGGCACCUCGAUGUCGGCUCAUCACAUCCUGGGGCUGAAGUAGGUCCCAAGGGUAUGGCUGUUCGCCAUUUAAAGUGGUACGCGAGCUGGGUUUAGAACGUCGUGAGACAGUUCGGUCCCUAUCUGCCGUGGGCGCUGGAGAACUGAGGGGGGCUGCUCCUAGUACGAGAGGACCGGAGUGGACGCAUCACUGGUGUUCGGGUUGUCAUGCCAAUGGCACUGCCCGGUAGCUAAAUGCGGAAGAGAUAAGUGCUGAAAGCAUCUAAGCACGAAACUUGCCCCGAGAUGAGUUCUCCCUGAGACUUAGAGUCUCCUGAAGGAACGUUGAAGACGACGACGUUGAUAGGCCGGGUGUGUAAGCGCAGCGAUGCGUUGAGCUAACCGGUACUAAUGAACCGUGAGGCUUAACCUUACAACGCCG
rnacentral:rRNA from 4 species